GUUGAAACACCAGUUCCCAUACAAUCACCGAAGUUGAGCAACAUUGAGCCUGUUUAGUAUCUAGAUGAGUGACUAGUUGGGAAUACCAGGUGCUAU